CUGGACCGCGCGGCGGGAUCCCGAAAGCUCACGGUAAUUGGCCGCUGGCGGAGUAGGCCGCUACUUCUUCGCGCGUUAGGAAGAGGAAAGAAGUGCCCUUCCGGCCUCUGAAAUGUGAGAAGACUCACGUUUCUCCACGUUGGUAAUAAGCUGGAAUUCGGGUUUUGUAUUCUUAGUGUAUGAGCCACUUUGAACCCCAACGCAUGCUCUGCGAAGAUGGGUUUAGGUUAUUCUCCCGCUUCUGCGGUACUCGCGCUUUUUUCUCCAAGGAGUUAGCAUUUCCUUUUCUUCUGAGUGAACAUCCACUUAAAUGGGAUAAAGCGCGCGUAGUUUUACACAAUAGUAUGGAAGCUUCUAGUAAUGAGUUUGGGAAAGAACUAGAGUCCGUCUGUAGGAGCCAUAGUAAGGGAAGGGACCUGUCAUUAAAGCAGUCUUUAGAGCUUCCAGCCCAUUCGAACUCUCCCGCAGUUAAUCUUUCGGUAUCAUUCACUUUCACACAUUCAAGGAAGAGAAUUAAGGGAGCACUAGUAUCCCGGGCUGGAAUCCUUCCUCAGGGCGGGAUUUACGCGUGUUCUAUGGCUCCUUCCCUCUUCUCAAAAUGGCCUCAGCUCGUUCAUACCCGAAGUUUCAGUUUGAAUCUGCCUCUCAGUUCAGAGUCGUAAACUGACCAGGACUCUUUGUAUUACGUAGGUGCGUACAUUUGCCUUGAAGGCACUUCUUUCCCAAACGGGAGCUGUUGAAAAGAAGUAGUAACGUUGUGCUCUAGGAUUUAAUUUGAACUUUACCUUCAUGUAAUUUUCAAAUGUAUUUAGUCGGUAUGAACUUGUGUCUAAAGCAAAAGUAAGAAUCUUUGUGAUUCGAUGCUUAUUAGAUGCUAGACAUUUUUGGAAUACAGUGUUAAGCUAAUGGUAAUCAGAAAUCAAUUUUGUGGUAUGUUUUGAUAACAUUAGGAGUUCACUUCAUUAACUUACUUUUUAACCCCUAGUUGGAUUAAAGGAUCAUUUGACUCAAAAUCCUUAAAUCUGUAGUGAUGUAGCAUACCGCUCAUAUUUUUGUAAUGUGAACACAUUAUAAAUAAAAAUGUACCUGUACUUGUUUAUAAUCAGAAAUUUACCAGGUAGUCAACAGGGGGAUACCAUUAACACCAAUUAUUCGAUUUGUUUACCUAAUUUUUAUUUACUGUUUCUGAACGUGUUUAAAAUCGUGACUGAAACGUUAAUAUAAUGACAGCAACCCUGUUAGAGGGGUUUUUAGAGAAGAUUCAACCGGAAUUAAUUUAUUCAAGCAGCAUAUUGAGUCAGUUUGUUCCAUACACUAUACUUCGAUACUGGAGACUUUUAAAAAUGUGUUAAUUGGAUUUUUUGCUUUCUAGGAAGCCAUGAUAUAGUCAAAGAACCAAAUGCAAAAGAGUAGUAGUAUCUGAUUAAUGCUUUCAAAGCGUAGACAAGAUUUAGGCACUGUUAAUUCGUCCAUUUGUUCUGUAAACAUUUAUAAAGAGUUCUGCUGUGAAUCAGGUACUGUACACAUCACAAGGGAGUUGGGUACCCUACUGCCAAAGGACUGAUAUUUUAAGCAAGGCAUUAAAGAAUGAGAGUUUGACCAGUGGAUAAAGAAGCAGCAUGCACCAAGAGUAUUAUGCUAUGUUCUUUGGAAGGAAGAGGUAUAAGAACAGCUUAUUGCCUUCAAAGAGCUACACACUGGUGGGAAAUCUAUUGGCAUUUCAGCUGAACAGUUCUUUGUUAUGCGGGAAAGCAGAACAAAUGAUCAGGGUCCCUGGACCCUAUCUAGUUAAAGCUAGUAGCAUUUACUCCAGCUGAUUGUUGCCAUCUGGCAGUGGAGCUCGGUCUUUUUUCCAGAGAAUUCUAAUAGUUUGUUUUUUUUUAAUGUGACGUUUUCAGAUUUUAUAAUACUCUGUGAGCUAAAUCUAACACAGGGGCACCAAAUUGCUUCUCUAGGGUUUCCAACGGUAUAGUUUAGAAAUUAUAUUUGGGUAUUUCAAGCUUUAUCUGUAGAGGGUGAUAUUGAAAUUAUUUGACUAGAUACUUAGUGAUCACACUGAUAACAAGUUCUGUCCCUGAAGCAUUGGAAAAUUAAUACGUAUCUACUUUUUUCCCC